rnacentral:lncRNA from 1 species
GUCAUGGAGUUCGCGCGAGGACGAGGGAUCUGUUCGCGAGGGGGUUCAGGAAGAAGGGUACAAUCCCAUUGUCUACCUACCUCAGAACCUUCAAGGUCGGCGACUACGUCGAUGUGAAAGUGAACGGUGCGAUCCACAAGGGUAUGCCUCACAAGUUCUACCAUGGUCGUACCGGUCGUGUCUGGAACGUCACCAAGCGCGCCGUUGGUGUUGAAGUCAACAAACAGGUCUGAAACAGCUCACGUUGAUUGUUCAAAUCUGUUUCUUUUAUGUUGAAAUGUGCAGUUACUUGGUUCGGUUCAGGUUUUGAGAUUUGUCUGAAAGGUUUAAUUUUUAAUUAUGUUUUGUGUUGUUUGUGCGGGAACUAGUUAUCUACUGUGUUGUAGCUUGGUUUUAGAUUUCAAAAAGUGACUGCUUUGAUUUUUAUGAGCAUUGUGUUGCAUUUGCAUCAAUAGUUCUCUCUAUUUGGGUUUCGUUGAUUGAAUACUUCGAUUCAUGACUUUAUAUGAAUGUUGGCUUCAAAUCAUGUCUUAAUAGGCGUUAAUACUGUUGUUUGACUCACUGGAGCCAACCAUAUACAUUAUGUAUACUCGGCCUUUUGUACUUUCUGUAUGUGUGAGUGACAUAUAUGUUUGGUGGGUGUGUUUCAGAUUGGCAACAGGAUCAUAAGGAAGAGGCUUCAUGUGCGUGUGGAGCACGUGCAGCAGUCCAGGUGCGCAGAGGAGUUCAAGCUGAGGAUUAAGAAGAACGAUGAGCUCAAGGCCGCAGCCAAAGCCAGAGGCGAGACGAUAAGCACCAAGAGGCAACCUAAAGGACCCAAACCAGGAUUCAUGGUUGAGGGUAUGACCUUGGAGACCGUCACUCCUAUCCCCUACGACGUCGUCAACGAUCUCAAGGGAGGCUAUUAGUUUUCUAC